rnacentral:sRNA from 1 species
AUUGCAUAAUCAGUUU